UAACAAGGAUUCCCCUAGUAACUGCGAGUGAAGCGGGAAAAGCUCAAAUUUAAAAUCUGGCGGUCUUCGGCCGUCCGAGUUGUAGUCUGGAGAAGCGUCUUCCGCGCUGGACCGUGUACAAGUCUCCUGGAACGGAGCGUCAUAGAGGGUGAGAAUCCCGUCUUUGACACGGACUACCAGUGCUUUGUGAUGCGCUCUCAAAGAGUCGAGUUGUUUGGGAAUGCAGCUCAAAAUGGGUGGUAAAUUCCAUCUAAAGCUAAAUAUUGGCGAGAGACCGAUAGCGAACAAGUACCGUGAGGGAAAGAUGAAAAGCACUUUGGAAAGAGAGUUAAACAGUACGUGAAAUUGCUGAAAGGGAAACGCUUGAAGUCAGUCGCGUUUGCUAGAACUCAGCCUGCCUUUUGGUUGGUGCAUUUUCUAGUUAACGGGCCAGCAUCAGUUUUGGCUGCGGGAUAAAGGCCAGGGGAAUGUGGCAACUUCGGUUGUGUUAUAGCCCCUGGUCAUAUACCGUGGCUGGGACUGAGGAUCUCAGCACGCCUUACGGCGGGGCUUCGGCCACCUUCGUGCUUAGGAUGCUGGCGUAAUGGCUUUAAACGACCCGUCUUGAAACACGGACCAAGGAGUCUAACAUGCCUGCGAGUGUUUGGGUGGAAAACCCGAGCGCGUAAUGAAAGUGAAAGUUGGGACCUCUGUCGUGGAGGGCACCGACGCCCGGACCAGACCUUCUGUGACGGCUCCGCGGUAGAGCAUGUAUGUUGGGACCCGAAAGAUGGUGAACUAUGCCUGAAUAGGGUGAAGCCAGAGGAAACUCUGGUGGAGGCUCGUAGCGAUUCUGACGUGCAAAUCGAUCGUCAAAUUUGGG
rnacentral:rRNA from 1 species